rnacentral:rRNA from 1 species
UAACGCGUGGGUAACCUGCCUCAUACAGGGGGAUAACAGUUAGAAAUGGCUGCUAAUACCGCAUAAGCGCACAGUACUGCAUGGUACAGUGUGAAAAACUCUGGUGGUAUGAGAUGGACCCGCGUCUGAUUAGCUAGUUGGUGAGGUAAGGGCUCACCAAGGCAACGAUCAGUAGCCGACCUGAGAGGGUGAACGGCCACAUUGGGACUGAGACACGGCCCAAACUCCUACGGAAGGCAGCAG